AUCAACUUUCGAUGGUAGGAUAGAGGCCUACCAUGGUGGUAACGGGUAACGGGGUGUUAGGGCACGACACCGGAGAGGGAGCCUGAGAAACGGCUACCACAUCCAAGGAUGGCAGCAGGCGCGCAAAUUACCCAAUCCCGACACGGGGAGGUAGUGACAAUAAAUAACAAUACGGGGUCCUUUCGGGUUUCGUAAUUGGAAUGAGUACAAUUUAAAUCUCUUAACGAGGAACAAUUGGAGGGCAAGUCUGGUGCCAGCAGCCGCGGUAAUUCCAGCUCCAAUAGCGUAUAUUAAAGUUGUUGCAGUUAAAAAGCUCGUAGUUGAAUUUCGGGACUAGUACGCUGGUCGUGCCUUCGGUAUGUACUGGUGUUACUGGUUCCUACCUUCUGACGAACCGUCAUGUCAUUAAUUUGGUGUGGCGGGAAAUCAGGACUGUUACUUUGAAAAAAUUAGAGUGUUUAAAGCAGGCUCGCGCUUGAAUACAUUAGCAUGGAAUAAUGAAAUAGGACGUUCGAUCCUAUUUUGUUGGUUUCUAGGAUUGACGUAAUGAUUAAUAGGGAUAGUUGGGGGCAUUAGUAUUCAAUUGUCAGAGGUGAAAUUCUUGGAUUUAUUGAGGACUAACUACUGCGAAAGCAUUUGCCAAGGAUGUUUUCAUUAAUCAAGAACGAAAGUUAGGGGAUCGAAGACGAUCAGAUACCGUCGUAGUCUUAACCAUAAACUAUGCCGACUAGGGAUCGGAUGAUGUUAUUUUUAAUGACUCAUUCGGCGCCUUACGGGAAACCAAAGUGUUUGGGUUC
rnacentral:rRNA from 1 species